ensembl:miRNA mir16b microRNA 16b
CCUGAACUUGGCCGUGUGACAGACUGGCUGCCUGGCUGUAGCAGCACGUAAAUAUUGGAGUCAAAGCACUUGCGAAUCCUCCAGUAUUGACCGUGCUGCUGGAGUUAGGCGGGCCGUUUACCGUCUGCGGGGGCCUCGGG